ACGGCCUAAAGCGUGAUUAAAUUAUAUUUAGAUAAAUAGAAAUAAAAAUUAACUUAACUGUCGUACGUAUUUGUUAAACGGCAAACCAUAAACGAAAGAUAUUCUAAUAAACAAACUACUUGAACCCACGAAAACUAAGAAACAAACUAGGAUUAGAUACCCUACUAUGCUUAGUCUUAAACUUUGGAAUUACCCGCCCGAGCACUACGAGCCACAGCUUAAAACUCAAAGGACUUGGCGGUGCUCUACACCCCCUAGAGGAGCCUGUUCUAUAAUUGAUAAUCCCCGCUAAACCUCACCACUUAUUGCCAAUACCGCUUAUAUACCGCCGUCGUCAGCUCACCACUCAAAUGAAAAAUAGUAGGCAUAAUGAUAAACAUAAAAACGUCAGGUCAAGGUGUAGUGAAUUAGGUGGAAAGAAAUGGGCUACAUUUUCUAAACUAGAAAAUACGAAAAAUAUUAUGAAAAACUAUUUAAAGGUGGAUUUAGCAGUAAAAAGAAAACAGAGUGUUCUUUUUAAAUAGGCCCUAGAGCGCGCACACACCGCCCGUCACCCUCCUCAAAAACCCAAAUAAUUAUAUAAUAAAAGAAAAUAAAAGAAGAGGUAAGUCGUAACAUGGUAAGUUUACCGGAAGGUGUACUUGGAUAAU
rnacentral:rRNA from 1 species